GACGAACGCUGGCGGCGUGCCUAAUACAUGCAAGUCGAGCGGACCUCUUCGGAGGUCAGCGGCGGACGGGUGAGUAACACGUGGGCAACCUGCCUGUAAGACUGGGAUAACACCGGGAAACCGGUGCUAAUACCGGAUAAUCCUUUUCCUCACAUGAGGGGAAGCUGAAAGACGGUUUCGGCUGUCACCUACAGAUGGGCCCGCGGCGCAUUAGCUAGUUGGUGGGGUAACGGCCCACCAAGGCGACGAUGCGGAGCCGACCUGAGAGGGUGAUCGGCCACACUGGGACUGAGACACGGCCCAGACUCCUACGGGAGGCAGCAGUAGGGAAUCUUCCGCAAUGGACGAAAGUCUGACGGAGCAACGCCGCGUGAGCGAAGAAGGCCUUCGGGUCGUAAAGCUCUGUUGUCAGGGAAGAACACGUGCCGGAGUAACUGCCGGUACCUUGACGGUACCUGACCAGAAAGCCACGGCUAACUACGUGCCAGCCGCCGCAGUAAAAC
rnacentral:rRNA from 1 species